rnacentral:tRNA from 1 species
UGGUAUGUGGCUCAGUGGUAGAGAGCUUGCCCAGCAUGUGCAAGGUCCUGGGUUCAAUCCCCAGCACUGCAA